rnacentral:lncRNA from 1 species
ACAAUUAGAAAUUUAUUUCCCUCACUGUAGUAUUCCCGGAACCUCGGCAAAGAGGGUAGCGAUCAGCCUCUUAGGCAUUAUCCCAGCCUGGGGUGAAAGGGACAAAGGACCCACCCCACAAAAGCAGCCAUUCUCACGGCCCCAUGAAGCAGUAAGAGCUAGAAGUCCCCCUCAGACUCCUCUGUACUGGGGACCAAUGAGGCUCCUUGGAAUGUUCCAGAGACUUCCUUGGGGAACAGGAAGUGCCUUCAAGGCUUUCGAAUGGCAGUGGAAGGAAACCAUUGUUAUUGGAAACAAAAUCUAACCUGGUAACUGCAGCCCUGUCUUCUUAGAAGCUGAGGACCAAAACACAAUCCAAACAGCAGUGGAACAAAAUCUCUAGGCCCUCUCCUUCUUGAAGACCUUGAUGAGGAAGAGAGAAGGAGCAACUCUUCAGGCGGACGCCCCACUGCGUAGGGAGGAUCCUGAUGAAUUUCUGGUCUGCGGAGAGGCUCAGCGUCUAGUCUGGGAGUGAAAAACUGGAAAGCACAACUGUUCUGUGUAUUUAAAGGGAGGAAGAUUUGAGGGUUUACUGCAAACAGGGGGUGCAUUGGAGCAGAGGAGAAAGGAGAGAGCAAACUGGUGGAAGAACCAGGAGCCCAGGCUGGUGACAAUGGUCAGAGACUUUAGGAACCAGAAGUCCCAUGGCUCACCUAAGCCAGGCACAGAAACAGAUGGUUCUCAACAUCCAGGAAAGUUGCUGAGCUCCAUGCCUGGAUCUGCAAAAAGGAGAGGAUGCUGCCAAGGGAGGGAAGAGCCAGAGGAGGUCUGAGUUCUGCCAAAGGUCAAACACGAGGUGCAGAAUCCACAGGGAGACUCAGGGCGAGGGUUUGAGAAGACAGCCCUCAAAGGAUUCCUUGGUGUGACUUGCAGGGAAGUUCCAAGAAAGCUCCCCUGAUCCAAAGCCACCCCAAUGGCAGGUCUGAUGCCCAUGCAGAAGGUGAUAAACACUCUUGCCCAUCCUGCCCAGAGCAGACCACGCGCAGAGCUCAAGCCUGGAAGGACUUUUGCAAGAGCCCAAUUCCUUUCCAACCUCAAGCUUGUCCAUAAAUGACCAUGAGAUCAGGGGAGUGGAAAUAUAGCAAGUGAGGACUGAUGAAAAGAACUCGGGGUGUUUGGACUAAAACAAGAAGGCCUGGGAGGACGAGAGAACCAUCUCCAAACCAGGAUGGGAAUGGGCUUAUCAUCUAUUAUGAUUCUGGAGGGCGAAACUGAAGUCAGAAGAUAGAAGCAGCAGGAAAAAAUAACUUGGCUCAAGGCGAGGGGGGGCGUUCUUGUCGCUUGAGAAAGUGAAAGUGACUUCCUGUGAACAGUGAGAGAAGAGGCAGAGGAGGUGAGAGCCUGACCUCCGGUGCUUGGUGCGGAGUGGUGGGGCACAGUGUCCAAGCUGAAAUGGGGUGAGAUUCUUGGAUGGGAUGCCCUGAUUCUAACCACCCCCCCGCUAAGAUCCCAGCAAUAACACCACCUGCAGAGCCCACCAUGGGAAACGGAGCUGCUCACAGGGCAGGAGGUGGGUCCCUGAAGCUGUGGUGACCCAGCACUUUGGGGAUUAUUUCCAGAGUAAGCAUGAGUGUCUGUGAGUGCACGUGGGGACAGCAGGAUAGACCCUCAGCAAGGUCUUGCAAUGACCUUCUCAAGUGGGCCUUCCCUGAGCAGAGGGGUUUCCAGAACAUCUCUUUGCCUGAGUCACUGACUUAAAGGCAGAGAAUUGGGGAACAGGGGGUUCUCCGCUGGGCAGAGUAACUCCCCGUGUUCUCAGGUGUUCCCAAGGAGCGUGUGUGCUGAGCGCCGAGGGGAUUGGGUGGGAAGGCUGCAGAGCUAGAAAGCCUGAGAGAUCCACUAAGGGGGUCUCCAUAAACUGGGUGAGCUGGCCAAUGGGGCGCUCUUUCCUCACCUCCAGUACAUCGGGUGCCAUGGAAGAGGCUUUAGACACAGUGACCUAAGUCUCUGUGGACAGCAAUUACGAUGAGAGCAUUGGCACCUGCCACUGUGCUGGGAGGCUGGGCAAGGCCAGCUCCCAUCACCUGGACUGACCAUCUCGUGAUCAUGGGACCAGAGCAGGACACCUGGAGACUUGGAUUUCAGAGAGCAGUUUUCAUGGUCAAUGCGAGAACACCCUCAGCCUGGGCCUAAUGAAGACGUGGACUCUGGUGCAGAAGUUCCAAAUGUCCUUAAGGACUGCCUUUAAAAUCCAUCACUUUGACAUUUUGGCAUCGCUAAUGCCCCUGGUCUUAUUUCGCCCAUUCCCCCCACCUACCCCUCCCUCUAAAACUGGGUUAUAUAAUAUUUGAGUGUCAUAAAGCACUCUAAGCAGCAGGCUUCGGGGUGAAGGCAGGCUCUCCAGUGAUCCUUCAAGGAAGAAUUGAACAGCUAAACAGGGUUUGGAAGCUCCAGGGAGCAGAUUGAGUAACGGUGUUUAGAGCACUGCCAUAUACAAUUUUCUGGAUCCUCGACUACAGCAGCACAGGGAAAAGGGGGUUUGUGUAGCGAAGCAUCACUUUGAUGGGUAUAAAAAGAGUAUUGACUUAACAUUUACUGCCUCACAGUCAGGGAAAUUCUACAGCAAAAGCAUCUCAUCAACAUGAGGCUGACUCGAGGCUCUUUGAACAGGAUGGAGUUAAAAAGAAUCCAAAAGGAAGGACGCAAACCAUGUAGAUUGUUCCUCUUGCUCCAAUGAUUGUACUUAAAGUGACAUGUUUAUUUAUUUUUAAAUAAAAAUUAGAAGCUAAAAUUCUCUCAAGCACAUAACAGCUGAGUUCAGAGAGGGUUUGAUGAAUUAAGCAAGUAAACACUUCACAAAAACACUCCACCAUUUGGUUAAAGAGACUGUCACUGCUCAGGGGAGUGCCGGGAUUUUAAUAAUGAAAAAUACCUCUUCACUGAAGACUGCGUGGGUGGAGGGCAGUCUGGAUUCCAUAAUCAAAUCUGUCAUUUUCGAGGAGGCUAGUUUUCUCUCUAAACCCAGACGUUCUUUGAAUAUGAGAUGGCUCUGACACUUGUCUUUCAGUCUCUGGUUCAAAUCAUCUUUAUUUCCUCCAAGCCCCGCAGCUUUGGAAAGAAGAAGGCACGAGUUUUUGGAGAAGAGCAUUGUGUGCCUCAAAAACGGGCAUAGAGCGAGUUCCCGUUGUGGUUCAGCGGGUAAUGAACCCGACUAGGAUCCAUGAGAACAUGGGUUCAAUCCCUGGCCUCGCUCAAUUGGUUAAGGAUCUGGCGUUGCUGCAAGCAUAGGUCACAGAUGUGGCUCAGAUUGCACGUUGCUGUGGCUGUGGUGUAGGCUGCCAGCUGCAGCUCUGAUUCGACCCCUAGCCUGAGAAUUUCCAUAUGACGUGGGUGGGACCCUAAAAAAGCAAAAAAAAAAAAUUGUAUAUAGAAACCAAGGUUUUGCAAGGGACAGAAACCAACUCUAAAUAACUGAAGCGGAAAAGGAAAAUUAAUAGCUCACAAACCCACAGGACAGUGAGGCCAGGGCCGCUCUCUCUCUCUCUCUCUCUCUCUCUCUCUCUCUCUCUCUCUCUCUCACACACACACACACACACACACACCGUCUCUCUCUCUGAGUUGCCCUCAUUCUGAGGGUCAGCUGGCCCAGGAAAUCUGUCAUACACCUCAGUUCUAUCCUACCAGGCCUUGUGGCCUUACACCUCCCAACCAGACAAGGCAGAAACUUCUCCCUACUUACUAUUUGUUUGUUGUUUGUUCGUGUUCUUGUUUUGUUUUGUUUUUUAUGGCCGCACCCUCAGCACAUGGACGUUCCCAGGUUCGGGGUCAAAUCUGAGUGGCGUCUGGGACCUACACCACAGCUCACAGCAACAACGCAUCCUUAACCCACUGAGCGAGGCCAGGGAUCGAACCUACAUCCUCAUGGAUACUAGUUGGGUUCAUAACCCUCUGAACCACAUGGGAACUCCAUUCCACUUAGUAUCAUAAAACAGUAUGCAGAAGUUCCUGGGCCAGGUAUCAAACCCAUGCCACAGCCAUGACAAUGCCUGGUCCUUAACCCACUGAGCCACCAGGGAACUCCUCUUUUACUUUUUUAGUGUGGCUAAUAAAAAAUUCUAAAAGACAUAUUCAGCUGGAAUUUUAUUUCAGUCAGGGGUGGCUUCUCUAAGAUCAAGGACCUAGCCUUCACUACCUGAGGCCAGCCUAUCCAGCUAGGUAUUCAGAGGGCGAACAGGAUGGAAUUGACUUUCCUUCUAACGUAAGCGUGUCCUUAGGGUCUCAGUGCGUUCGGUUCAGGGAGUUGACUUUUUUUUUUUAACUCUAGCCAGAGUCCCUGCUUUGGUAUCUCUAAGCCAUGCCCCUAAAAGAAUUACAUCAAAAAUCAGCCUCCGUUUCUUUAGAGAGGCACAAAGCGAGAGCCAACAUACAGUUACGAGUCUUUGUCUGGAUUCCAAAUCCCUAUAUAAAUCCACAAGCUAUCAAGACUUCACGCCAGCCCCUGCUGCAGGUGGAACAGCAGGGGUGAUUCAGGGUAAAAUGUACUCUUAUCCGUGUCGUUGUGCCACAAAGAUGUCAGAUUGUAGAUGCAGCCUUUGCAGGUGCUUGAUGCACUAGCCAGCUGAUGAAACGGAACAGCUUUUCGCUUCAUGCCAGCCUGUUUUCUACAUGCAACCCUUUUACUCUGUGGGAAGCCAGCGUCGGGUGGGGAAGGGAAUGAAAGUCUGGGUUGGAAAAUGCAUUGUCUUCCACCCAGAAAACCUUAGCCGGGAAACAAAUGUAGACGAGGCAGCCUUGCUUCUAUACAGAAAGCACCUUGCAUACACUCCCCGCUUCCCCUCCCAGCUCCCAGGCAAGGAGGAAGGCAGGUCUCUGAGAUGCCAAUGUUAGUCAAAGUCUGUCCCUAAAAGCUUGUGACCUCAAAGGAGCCCUCCAACAUUCCGCCUGCUGGCUUUGGUCCUGGUUAGGUAAUAAGGCAUUCAAGGACACGUCAGAAGCCCCCGUUGCAUCUCAGUGGGUUAAGAACCCAACAAUGUCCAUGAGGACUCGGGUUCGAUCCCUGGCCCCUCUCAGUGGGUUAAGGAUCCGGCAUUGGCACAAACUGCGGCAUGGGUCAUGGAUGCAGCUCUGAUCUGGAGUUCUUGUGACUGCGGGGGAGGCCGGCGGCUAUGGCUCCCAUUCGACCCCUGGCCUAGGAACUCCCAUAGGCCACAGGUGUGGCCUUAAAAAAAAAAAAAAAAAAAAAAAAAAAAGACACUCCAGAAAAUAUUUCCAAAUGCAAACUACAGCCCGCCCUGCUGCCCCUCCACUCCAGUGAAAAUAAGAUGCAAAAUUUGCCACAGCCUCUAAGACCCUACAGGACUGAGCAGGGUCUGCCCCUUGGGCUCAUCUCUUGCUGCUCUUUUUCCAUCACACUCUGGCCUUUGCUUUGCUGCUGUUCCUGGAACAGAUGGAGCUGGUCCUGCCAUGGGGCCUUUGCCUGGGCAGCGCCCUCGGCUGGAGCCCUCUUCCCACUGACUCUCUUCUCCGCCCCAGAGGGGGCUUCCUAGAUCAACGCCUCUGAAUGGGUACAACCCCACCCCACCUCCAGCCAGACUCCAAUGCAUUAGCUUAUCCUCUGUUCUCUGGGACACAUAGAUGUCUAGCUGAAUCAUCUUUCAUCUGUUUAGCAGCUUGUCAUCAACAUUAACCUGGUGAGAUGUAAGCCCUUUGAGGGCAGUGGCCCUGUUGGAGAUUCCCAGUGUCCCCAGCUGUGCCUGAUAGGGAAAUGAAUGAGAUUUACACACACACACACACACACACACACACACGGAGGGGCAGAUGGGAUGUACCACAUAAAGGAAUGGUAGGUCGCCGGUAUGAGUUGAGUUGUGUCUUCUCCCUCCCCCAUUCAUACGUUGAAAUUCUCGCCUCAGAGUGUAACUCUAUUUGGGGAAAGCUCACUGCAGAUGUCAUUUGCUAAGAGGCGAUCAUGCUGGGGUAGGGUGGGCCUUUAGUCCAGCAGGACCGAUGUCCUUAUAAAAGGGGAAAUUUGGACUCAGAAAAGCACACGUGGGGAACAUUAUGUGAAGGUCAAGGCAGAAACUGGGGUGAUGGUUCUCCAUGGCAAGGAUUUCCAGCCAACGUCUAGAAACUAGACACUACACAAGAAGAACAGACAGACGGUCACAGCCCCAGAAGUAACCAACCCCGCUGACAUUGUCUUCUAGCUUCCAGAACCGUAAAGACAAUAAAUUAGUCUCUAAGCCAUCCAGUUUGUGGUCCUUUGUUAUGGCAGCCAUAGAAAACUAUUCCAGUGGUUCCAGUGAGAUUCAGGUAACAGGAUUAAAUGCUUUAUUACAGUGCAUCAGGGUGUAUCAGUCUUUUUUUUUUUCUUUCUUAUUUGCAGCUAGGAAAAAAAAAAUCAUUGCCCCAAAGGAGCAGAGCAGUCAGUAGGUUGAAAAGCUGUGAUCGGACCAUAUUGCUGAGAGCUUUAUCCAAUGACUUGUUGUUAUGAAAGCCGUCACGGUCAACUCUUCCACCCCCCCAGAUGGCCUCCAGCCUCUCAGCUUAUCAAAUCAGUUCUCCACUCAGUGUGUGAAAGCAUCUUAAAGAUGUUCCGAUACAUAAUAGCUGCUCAAUAAACAUUAGUUCCUGCCUUUCCCAUCCCUGCUGCAAGACAAACCCAUUCCUAAAGCAUGUCUCGUGUUGCCCAUUCCUAUGACUUCCUACGUUCAUUUAUUCAAACAUCCCUUCAUUCGUGAAACAUAUACUGAAGGUUUACUCUAU